rnacentral:rRNA from 1 species
AUUGAACGCUGGCGGCAGGCCUAACACAUGCAAGUCGAGCGAGCGGCGGACGGGUGAGUAAUGUCUGGGAAACUGCCUGAUGGAGGGGGAUAACUACUGGAAACGGUAGCUAAUACCGCAUACCAUCAGAUGUGCCCAGAUGGGAGUAGCUAGUAGGUGGGGUAACGGCUCACCUAGGCGACGAUACAUAGCCGACCUGAGAGGGUGAUCGGCCAAACUGGGACUGAGACACGGUCCAGACUCCUACGGGAGGCAGCAGUGGGGAAUAUUGAACAAUGGGCGCAAGCCUGAUGCAGCCAUGCCGCGUGUAUGAAGAAGGCCUUCGGGUUGUAAAGUACUUUCAGCGGGGAGGCGUUACCCGCAGAAGAAGCACCGGCUAACUCCGUGCCAGCAGCCGCGGUAAUAC